GACGAACGCUGGCGGCGUGCUUAACACAUGCAAGUCGAACGGAAAGGCCCUGCUUUUGUGGGGUGCUCGAGUGGCGAACGGGUGAGUAACACGUGAGUAACCUGCCCUUUACUUUGGGAUAACUUCAGGAAACUGGGGCUAAUACCGGAUAGGAGCUCCUGCUGCAUGGUGGGGGUUGGAAAGUUUCGGCGGUUGGGGAUGGACUCGCGGCUUAUCAGCUUGUUGGUGGGGUAGUGGCUUACCAAGGCUUUGACGGGUAGCCGGCCUGAGAGGGUGACCGGCCACAGGGGGACGGAGAUACGGCCGAGACUCCUGCGGGAGAGAGGAGUGGGGAAUAUUGCACAAUGCGGGGAAGCCUGAUGCAGCAGCGGCGCGUGAGAGAUCGGGGCUUUGGGGUUAAAAACCGUUUUCGCGUGUGGCGCAGCGUGAGAGGCGAUAAGGGGUAAAGAAGCCCGGGAUAAAUGUG
rnacentral:rRNA from 1 species